GAGUGCUGCGAGUUUCAAUACUUUUUAUGUAGUCAUUGAGAGUUUAAACAAAGUUUCUUCUGAGAAGAGGGAUUCGAUGGAUGCAUUCAACGUGGACAACGAGAUUAUAAUUUCGUUUGUGUCAUCCUAAGGACCAGUGCAAGUUGAAAUGGGCUUGAGUCAACAACUUCAACAGCAAUUUGCCUUGAAAAUCAGCAAGAAAGGUACUUCAUUUACAUUGAUGAUGUCAUAUCCCCUGGACCCCACAACUUCACAGGUUACAGAGAAAAUUCAAGAACUUCUGCACAAUGUGGUACUUGGAUAGAAUCAAUAAUGUAUUUGUGAGCCCAGAUAUAUUGUGCAACAUACUAAAGUGUGAAUUUAAUUGAAAACAAGUACAUGUACUCAUGUAUACUAUUAUAUGUCUUUUUUAAAGAUAAUAAUAUUGCAUAAAUAUAGAGGAAGUGUCAUUGUUGAUUAUUCUAAGUUUUUGAUAUAUCAAAAUCAGUAAACAUUUCUAAAUGAAAAUAAAAUACCAAUUUUAU